AGUUUAGAGAGCCUAGCUGAAACCUGACACGUUUAUUAUAUUAACUCCCUAAGAGGAGUAUUAAUUUCUCGUUCGCUACUGAGAUUAGGCUCCUUGGGUUGGAUGACAGAUUGACACGUCGCCACCGUCCACAUACCGACCCAUCUGCGACAAGUUCACCUUUAUCGAGUUAUUCCUCUUCGCAAAUAUUCUAAGAAUUCCGUCAUCGCUUUCCGGUGAUUCCGUGCCUCCAUGGGAUUAUCUGGGUGGCAAGCUGGCAAGCAAUCCAGAAGGGAGCGAAGACACUUGCCACAAACGUAUGAAGGCAACGGCAGCAGCAUCUGCACUAAUGGAUCGAGUGAGAACUGGAGGAAAGCCCCGUUGCCACACUUUCUGACAUUGUUGUUGUUUUACUGAUCACUUAUUCCAGAAUUCCAGUUGAGUCCACAGGGCGGAAAGUUCAGUAUAGUUGAGAUUUUGGGCCAUGUGCAUUUCAUUUUACCAGCAAAGGGCAACUGGAGAACUUAUACCCUGCAGAGGAAGGAAGAAAGAAAGAUAUCCUUACAUUUCAAGAAGCUUCUUUACAUUUCUUCUUAAGUAGAUUAAUGGAGCAGCCUGUGUCUCCUUUCAAAUCUUUUUGAGAAGACUGGAUGCGAUAUUCAUGCUGUGAACUGGAUGUAUGCUAUGACAAGACUGAUCGAUACAGUGCUAUUGCACAGGUUGGCUUCUUCCUCCCACCUGCAACCUAAAGAUUAAGCUUCCAGUCGUUUGUUUGAUUUGCGGGAAUAGGACAGAAAAGUGUGGUCAAAAGAUAUCUUAUUUUUAGUUGGAGAGGGAUGAAAUAACACCUUUUCUAUGGGAAUAAUUUUUUUCAUAUUUCUCAGGUUGCUGAUUUGCAGCUUCCAUUCCCAUAAAAAAAGAAAAAAAGUUUUCAUAUUUCACAAAAAAAAAAAAA